CCUACGUGGUGCAGCAGUGAGGAAUAUUGGUCAAUGGGCGCGAGCCUGAACCAGCCAAGUAGCGUGAAGGAUGACUGCCCUACGGGUUGUAAACUUCUUUUAUAAAGGAAUAAAGUGAGGCACGUGUGCCUUUUUGUAUGUACUUUAUGAAUAAGGAUCGGCUAACUCCGUGCCAGCAGCCGCGGUAAUACGGAGGAUCCGAGCGUUAUCCGGAUUUAUUGGGUUUAAAGGGAGCGUAGAUGGGUUGUUAAGUCAGUUGUGAAAGUUUGCGGCUCAACCGUAAAAUUGCAAUUGAUACCGGCAGUCUUGAGUACAGUUGAGGUAGGCGGAAUUCGUUGUGUAGCGGUGAAAUGCUUAGAUAUCACGAAGAACUCCGAUUGCGAAGGCAGCUUACUAAACUGCCACUGACAUUGAUGCUCGAAAGUGUGGGUAUCAAACAGGAUUAGAUACCCUUGUAGUC
rnacentral:rRNA from 1 species